rnacentral:lncRNA from 1 species
UGGCGCCGUGGGAAAGCGCGCUGGUUUCUGCCAAAUGCAGUUAGCUUUGCUUCGCUUCCCUAAGUGCGUUCCCCCAGGGGCCCGGCAGUGUGCUAGGGGCACCCUGCUUCGUAAGUGAGGCAGACAGCCCGUGAUAAAUGCCAAAGUAGAAGCCCCUCCGAAAAAUUAAGGAGCCGAUUGGGCGGGACUAACCCUAAGGGAGGGCAGGGGAAGCGACCGUCACCUCCGGGCGCCGGGGACUCGGAACGCCGGGUCGGAGCUCGGCAGGCGGAGAAGACGGGGUCUCACCACAUUGUCCAGGCUGAUCUCGAACUCCUGACUUCAAGCGAUCUCACCUCGGCCUCCCAAAGUGCUGGGAUUACAGGCAUAAGCCACCGUGCCUGGCCAAUUAUGAACAGACAUUGAUGCAGUUUCCUUCCUGGAGAGGGUACACACUCAGAUCAUGAGACCUAAGAUAAAACACACACUGGAUUGUCAAGAAUCAAACAAGGACUACCAAUGGGAUCUAAUUAAACUAAAGAGCUUCUGCACAGCAAAAGAAACUACCAUCAGGGUGAACAGGCAACCUAC